GAGUCAUGUGGAUUGUGUUGGAGUUCACUUGUGUAGUGUCCUCAAGCACUGAUAAGGUUUUCUCGUUUAUCCUUAAAUGGGCCUGGCAGUCUUGAUCUUCAGAAAUCUGGGCACCUAACACGUCUUGCUGGAAGUUUGUCUUUCACUUGCUUUUCUUGGCUGUGUCAUAUUAAGUGGAUCUUUGCAGAAUAGAAUGACAGCUGCUGGGGCCUUGUGACAGACUAGGCAGAUGAGUAAUGACAGUGUGGUAGGAGAGCUGCUGAGGAUGGUGGUCCGUCCCUUUGAUCAAGGUGCAGUGGGACCUCAGUGUCAAAGCCCCUGACAUUGAGCACUGAGCUGUCUUCCUGUGGAUUACUCUAUCUGGUCGUGAACUGCUUGAAAGGAAAUGAUUUAUUAUAAAAACGAGACUUUUAAGAUGUUUUUCCUUUAUUGCCCUUUCUAUUCUGGUGAUAGCUAAUUUGGCGUGCAUAAACUGGGAUCUGGUUGAUUGGGACCCUCUCUAUGAUGUCACUUGGGAAGAUGACCCUGGAGGCAAAAUGCUAGUAUGUGUCGUCUCCCUCCUAGGUCAGCCUUACAUCUGGAGACUGUUGAAGGAAGUCCCAAGGCCAUGAGUCCGUGACCCUUGGGAUGACUUGGGAUCUGGGUUUGCUGAUAUUUCUCCCAAGGCUCUCUUGGUGGUGUUCAUGGACACCAGAGGGGCAGAGAGUGGAGAUUGAGGUCACCACAUGAAGUGUCGUCAGAGCUCCUCCUCAUUGUCUGCUCAGAGCAUCAUGGAACAACCGUUCACUCUGUGUGAGAGAUCAGAGGGAAAGCACUGGAACUGGGGGCUUGGGGUCCACUUCAACUGGCUCUGAGUCUUGACCACAGUACCCUUUAGAGGGCCAUGGACAGGAAAGGCCAGCCCCGUGUCCCUGUGACACGCCUGG